UUGGUUGUAAAUUGUUAUCUAUUUUCCAUGCAAUUGGCUAUAAAUACGGCGAAUUCUUUUAAAUCAACUAACUUUUUGACAGACGAUCAUAUCUAUCAUCAUGAUGAAAACUAUAUUAGUUGCAUUUUGUGUUGUGAUCGUAGCGGCUUAUGCCGUAGAAGUUGACACGGAUUUUGUUAAAUCUGCUUUAGCCUUCAAGGAUCAAGUAAUGAACAGAGAUGUCAACGAAAACCUGGAGAAACGAGCAAUGUUGAACGUCUUUAAACGUAAAUGUUCAGAACUAAAUGGAGAGUGUAAUAUGUUCCGACCAUGCUGUAAUCCUAAGGCCGUUAAAUGUAGCAGUUUCUUAGGUGGUCAGUGUAUACGUCGUCCUCAACCGCGAGAUUAAUAAAUGGACAGAACUAUUGAAAAGAGGAAAAUUUUCAAGUUCUCUUACUUAUAAACAUAUUUCAACAACGUAGAUUAAAAGAAAUGAAAAAUAAACAGAUAUUUGUGUAUUUAUAUAGAUUAAAUGACCCUGAUUUAAUAAAAAUGUAUUGAAACAGUAAAA